UGUGAGUGAUGAGCCUUUCUUACCCGACUUUCCUGUGGGGGUACAAACUGAUUUAAUGAGCCUGACAC